rnacentral:rRNA from 1 species
GUUGGGUAGGGGAGCGUUCUGUAAGCCUGUGAAGGUGUGUCGUGAGGCAUGCUGGAGGUAUCAGAAGUGCGAAUGCUGACAUAAGUAACGAUAAAGCGGGUGAAAAGCCCGCUCGCCGGAAGACCAAGGGUUCCUGUCCAACGUUAAUCGGGGCAGGGUGAGUCGACCCCUAAGGCGAGGCCGAAAGGCGUAGUCGAUGGGAAACGGGUUAAUAUUCCCGUACUUGGUGUUACUGCGAAGGGGGGACGGAGAAGGCUAUGUUGGCCGGGCGACGGUUGUCCCGGUUUAAGCGUGUAGGCUGGUUUUCCAGGCAAAUCCGGAAAAUCAAGGCUGAGGCGUGACGACGAGGCACUACGGUGCUGAAGCAACAAAUGCCCUGCUUCCAGGAAAAGCCUCUAAGCAUCAGGUAACAUCAAAUCGUACCCCAAACCGACACAGGUGGUCAGGUAGAGAAUACCAAGGCGCUUGAGAGAACUCGGGUGAAGGAACUAGGCAAAAUGGUGCCGUAACUUCGGGAGAAGGCACGCUGACACGUAGGUGAAGUGAUUUACUCAUGGAGCUGAAGUCAGUCGAAGAUACCAGCUGGCUGCAACUGUUUAUUAAAAACACAGCACUGUGCAAACACGAAAGUGGACGUAUACGGUGUGACGCCUGCCCGGUGCCGGAAGGUUAAUUGAUGGGGUCAGCGCAAGCGAAGCUCCUGAUCGAAGCCCCGGUAAACGGCGGCCGUAACUAUAACGGUCCUAAGGUAGCGAAAUUCCUUGUCGGGUAAGUUCCGACCUGCACGAAUGGCGUAAUGAUGGCCAGGCUGUCUCCACCCGAGACUCAGUGAAAUUGAACUCGCUGUGAAGAUGCAGUGUACCCGCGGCAAGACGGAAAGACCCCGUGAACCUUUACUAUAGCUUGACACUGAACAUUGAGCCUUGAUGUGUAGGAUAGGUGGGAGGCUUUGAAGUGUGGACGCCAGUCUGCAUGGAGCCGACCUUGAAAUACCACCCUUUAAUGUUUGAUGUUCUAACGUGGACCCGUAAUCCGGGUUGCGGACAGUGUCUGGUGGGUAGUUUGACUGGGGCGGUCUCCUCCUAAAGAGUAACGGAGGAGCACGAAGGUUGGCUAAUCCUGGUCGGACAUCAGGAGGUUAGUGCAAUGGCAUAAGCCAGCUUGACUGCGAGCGUGACGGCGCGAGCAGGUGCGAAAGCAGGUCAUAGUGAUCCGGUGGUUCUGAAUGGAAGGGCCAUCGCUCAACGGAUAAAAGGUACUCCGGGGAUAACAGGCUGAUACCGCCCAAGAGUUCAUAUCGACGGCGGUGUUUGGCACCUCGAUGUCGGCUCAUCACAUCCUGGGGCUGAAGUAGGUCCCAAGGGUAUGGCUGUUCGCCAUUUAAAGUGGUACGCGAGCUGGGUUUAGAACGUCGUGAGACAGUUCGGUCCCUAUCUGCCGUGGGCGCUGGAGAACUGAGGGGGGCUGCUCCUAGUACGAGAGGACCGGAGUGGACGCAUCACUGGUGUUCGGGUUGUCAUGCCAAUGGCACUGCCCGGUAGCUAAAUGCGGAAGAGAUAAGUGCUGAAAGCAUCUAAGCACGAAACUUGCCCCGAGAUGAGUUCUCCCUGAGACUUUAGGUCUCCUGAAGGAACGUUGAAGACGACGACGUUGAUAGGCCGGGUGUGUAAGCG